ACGAACGCUGGCGGCAGGCCUAACACCUGCCAGUCGAGCGCGGACUUCGGUCCUAGCGGCGGACGGGUGAGUCACGCGUGGGAACGUGCCCUUUGCUUCGGAAUAGCCCUGGGAAACUGGGAGUAAUACCGGAUGAGCCCUUUGGGGGAAAGAUUUAUCGGCGAAGGAUCGGGCCGCGUUGGAUUAGGUAGUUGGUGGGGUAAUGGCCUACCAAGCCGACGAUCCAUAGCUGGUUUGAGAGGAUGAUCAGCCACACUGGGACUGAGACACGGCCCAGACUCCUACGGGAGGCAGCAGUGGGGAAUCUUAGACAAUGGGGGAGACCCUGAUCGAGCCAUGCCGCGUGAGCGAUGAAGGCCUUAGGGUUGUAAAGCUCUUUCAGCUGGGAAGAUAAUGACGGUACCAGCAGAAGAAGCCCCGGCUAACUCCGUG
rnacentral:rRNA from 1 species